rnacentral:rRNA from 1 species
UACGUAGGGGGCAAGCGUUGUCCGGAUUUAUUGGGCGUAAAGCGCGCGCAGGCGGUUCUUUAAGUCUGGUGUUUAAGUGCGGGGCUCAACCCCGUGACGCACUGGAAACUGGGGAACUUGAGUGCAGAAGAGGAGAGCGGAAUUCCACGUGUAGCGGUGAAAUGCGUAGAGAUGUGGAGGAACACCAGUGGCGAAGGCGGCUCUCUGGACUGGUAACUGACGGCUGAGGCGCGAAAAGCGUGGGGAGCAAACAGG